UGAGGAAUAUUGGUCAAUGGACGGGAGUCUGAACCAGCCAAGUAGCGUGCAGGACGACGGCCCUAUGGGUUGUAAACUGCUUUUAUAGGGGGAUAAAGUGUGCCACGUGUGGCAUAUUGCAGGUACCCUAUGAAUAAGGACCGGCUAAUUCCGUGCCAGCAGCCGCGGUAAUACGGAAGGUCCGGGCGUUAUCCGGAUUUAUUGGGUUUAAAGGGAGCGUAGGCCGUCUUAUAAGCGUGUUGUGAAAUGUCGGGGCUCAACCUGGGCAUUGCAGCGCGAACUGUGAGACUUGAGUGCGCAGGAAGUAGGCGGAAUUCGUCGUGUAGCGGUGAAAUGCUUAGAUAUGACGAAGAACUCCGAUUGCGAAGGCAGCCUGCUGUAGCGCAACUGACGCUGAAGCUCGAAAGCGUGGGUAUCGAACAGG
rnacentral:rRNA from 2 species